GAUGAACGCUGGCGGCGUGCCUAAUACAUGCAAGUCGAGCGAACGGACGAGAAGCUUGCUUCUCUGAUGUUAGCGGCGGACGGGUGAGUAACACGUGGAUAACCUACCUAUAAGACUGGGAUAACUUCGGGAAACCGGAGCUAAUACCGGAUAACAUUUUGAACCGCAUGGUUCAAAAGUGAAAGACGGUCUUGCUGUCACUUAUAGAUGGAUCCGCGCUGCAUUAGCUCGUUGGUAAGGUAACGGCUUACCAAGGCAACGAUGCAUAGCCGACCUGAGAGGGUGAUCGGCCACACUGGAACUGAGACACGGUCCAGACUCCUACGGGAGGCAGCAGUAGGGAAUCUUCCGCAAUGGGCGAAAGCCUGACGGAGCAACGCCGCGUGAGUGAUGAAGGUCUUCGGAUCGUAAAACUCUGUUAUUAGGGAAGAACAUAUGUGUAAGUAACUGUGCACAUCUUGACGGUACCUAAUCAGAAAGCCACGGCUAACUACGUG
rnacentral:rRNA from 1 species